UCGUUUAGCAAUCGAAAAAAACUGUAAUAUCAGAACAUCAGACAUGUUGACACGUUGUAGUGGUUUAAUAUCAGAACAUCAGAACCUAGGCUGUUUAUGUUAUGUGGGGAGACAUUGCCUUGUGUGUGUGUGUGUGUGUGUGUGAAGGGAGAUCGACUUUAAAAUUGGACGUCUAUCCAUGUCCAGAGGAGAAAUACCUUAAAAACCAGGCACUAUGGGCAGUGAGGACUAUUACCAUCAGCUGGACGGGAAUAACUCUGGGUUUUGCUAGGUGAGGUUGAAGGGCAUAACUCCGCAUCAGAAGGUUGGGUUUUGCUAGGGGAGGUUGAAGGGCAUAACUCUGCAUCAGAAGGUUGGGUUUGCUAGGUGAGGUUGAAGGGCAUAACUCCGCAUCAGAAGGUUGGGUUUUGCUAGGGGAGGUUGAAGGGCAUAACUCCGCAUCAGAAGGUUGGGUUUUGCUAGGGGAGGUUGAAGGGCAUAACUCCGCAUCAGAAGGUUGGGUUUUGCUAGGGGAGGUUGAAGGGCAUAACUCUGCAUCAGAAGGUUGGGUUUUGCUAGGGGAGGUUGAAGGGCAUAACUCUGCAUCAGAAGGUUGGGUAUUUGAUCCCAGUAUUUUAAUUUAUUUAUACUGAACACAAAUAUAAAUGCAACAUGCAUCAAUGUCAAAUAUUUGACUGAGUUACAGUUCAUAGAAGGAAAUCAGUCAAUUGAAAUAAAUUAAGUCCAAAUCAAUGGAUUUCACAUGACUGGGCAGAGGCGCAACAAUGAGUGGGCCUGGGAGGGCAUAGGCCCACCCACUUGGGAGCCAGGUCCACCCACUGGGGAGGCAUUCCCAGCCAAUCAGAAUGUUUUUUUUCCCAACAAAAGGGUUUUAUUACACACAGAAAUACUCCUGAGCACCCCCUCCCCAUCCUCAGAUGAUCCCUCAGGUGAAGAAGCCGGAUGUGGAGGUCCUGAACUGGCGUGGUUACACAUGUACUGAGGUUAUGAGGCCGGUGGAAUGUACUGCAAAAAUCUCUAAAAUUAUGUUGCUUAUGGUAUAGAAAUUCACAUUCAAUCCUCUGACAACAGAUCUGGUGGACAUUCCUGCAGUCAGCAUUGUAUUGUGUAACAAAACUGCACAUUUGUGAAAUAAAUGUGAGAGAAAUCAGCUUUUUUGUGCUUAUCGAACAUUUCUAUGAUUUUUUAUUUCAGCUCAUGAAAGAUUGGACCAACACUUUCCAUGUUGCGUUAAUUUUGUUCAGUAUAUGUAUUUUUUUACCCUAUCCCAAACUCUUAAUUUAUUUGACAUUUGGUGAAACUGAACGAUGCUGAGCACCCAGGGUGUCAAAAACACUUUGAAGUUUAACGUUUGGAGAACGUGGAUACAAGUCUAAU